rnacentral:rRNA from 1 species
AUUGAACGCUAGCGGCAUGCUUAACACAUGCAAGUCGAACGAGUGGCGGACGGGUGAGUAAUAUAUCGGAACGUGCCCAGUAGCGGGGGAUAACUACUCGAAAGAGUAGCUAAUACCGCAUACUAUUGGAGCGGCCGAUAUGGGAUUAGCUAGUUGGUGGGGUAAAGGCGCACCAAGGCAACGAUCCGUAGCUGGUUUGAGAGGAUGACCAGCCACACUGGGACUGAGACACGGCCCAGACUCCUACGGGAGGCAGCAGUGGGGAAUUUUGGACAAUGGGCGAAACCCUGAUCCAGCCAUCCCGCGUGUAUGAGAAGGCCUUCGGGUUGUAAAGUACUUUUGGCAGAGAGGCGUUAUCUGCAGAAUAAGCACCGGCUAACUACGUGCCAGCAGCCGCGGUAAUAC